rnacentral:rRNA from 1 species
GACCUACGACCAUACCAUGCUGAAUACACCGGUUCUCGUCCGAUCCCCGAAGUUAAGUAGCAUCGGGCCCGGUUAGUACUAAGAUGGGAGACCGCUUUGGAAUACCGGGUGUUGUAGGCUU